CGAACUAAUUCCCGAUGGACAUGAGGGGGCGCAAGCCAUUCUCAUGUAAAGUCCAAAAGACGCUUCAAGAGGGGCCUAUGGCCUAUCAGCUUGUUGGUGGGGUAACGGCCUACCAAGGCUACGACGGGUAGCGGGUGUGAGAGCACGACCCGCCUCAGUGGAACUGAGACACUGUCCACACUCCUACGGGAGGCUGCAGUCAGGAAUAUUGGGCAAUGGGCGAAAGCCUGACCCAGCGACGCCGCGUGCAGGAAGAAGCCCUUCGGGGUGUAAACUGCUUUUGCCGCCGAAUAAGCCCGCCU
rnacentral:autocatalytically_spliced_intron from 1 species